GAUGAACGCUGGCGGCGUGCCUAAUACAUGCAAGUCGAGCGAACGGACGAGAAGCUUGCUUCUUUGAUGUUAGCGGCGGACGGGUGAGUAACACGUGGAUAACCUACCUAUAAGACUGGGAUAACUUCGGGAAACCGGAGCUAAUACCGGAUGAUAUUUUGAACCGCAUGGUUCAAAAGUGAAAGACGGUGUUGCUGUCACUUAUAGAUGGAUCCGCGCUGCAUUAGCUAGUUGGUAAGGUAACGGCUUACCAAGGCAACGAUGCAUAGCCGACCUGAGAGGGUGAUCGGCCACACUGGAACUGAGACACGGUCCUGACUCCUACGGGAGGCAGCAGUAGGGAAUCUUCCGCAAUGGGCGAAAGCCUGACGGAGCAACGCCGCGUGAGUGAUGAAGGUCUUCGGAUCGUAAAACUCUGUUAUUAGGGAAGAACAUAUGUGUAAGUAACUGUGCACAUCUUGACGGUACCUAAUCAGAAAGCCACGGCUAACUACGUG
rnacentral:rRNA from 1 species